GUGGAUCCAGGACUGGAAGGAGGAAACAGGGAUACUUUGACUCUCAUGGACAGACUCUGAGGUCUUGUUUUACUACAACAAACUUUUGUCGUAAAAAACGAUUUAAAAGAAUGAAAUAAUCGACUUUUUAGAGGUUAACUAAACCUCACUUUAAAAGUAAACUGUAUUGUAUUGUAUUGUGACUUUAAACGCAAUAUAACAUCGGCUAUAUAUACUGUAUAUUGUGUGAAUUUGGUUCUUGACAUUUCACCUACUUUUCUUUUAAAACUACAACAGCGCCCUCGGGUGUUCAGUACAGAGAACUCGGUGGAUACAUUUACAUUCAAAUUACAAUUUCAGUCUGACA